AGGAUUAGAUACCCUAGUAUAAAAUGGAAUUAAAAAUUAGUAUAGGUGAAAUUUAAUAAUUCUGGCGGUUAAUUUUUUUUUAGAGGAGCUUGUAUUUAAUAGAAUUAACUCUUUGUAUUUUAGUAUUAAAUAAUUUAUUCAUCUCCGUUAUCAAAAUUAAUUUAAUAAAUAUUUUUAAUAUAUCAGGUCAAGAUGUAGUUUUUAUUAAAGAUUUAUUAGCUACAAUUAUUUUAAUAAAUGGAUUAUUAGAUUAAAAUUAAAUUUAAAUUUGAAUUUAAUUGUAAUAUUAAUUAGAAAAUUAAUAUGAAUUAUAUUUAUUAAUGUACAUAUUGCCCGUC
rnacentral:rRNA from 1 species